rnacentral:lncRNA from 1 species
CCUAUUAACACUUGUCACCGCUCUGUGUAUUUCUAGUCUGCCUUUCUCUUUUAUUAUGUACUAUUAGAAUGGGAAUGGCUUGGAUGCAGUAAAUAGUCUGGUGUACACUGGCAGCUGCGAGCAAUGAGCUGACAAGUGAUUUAGUCAAAAGGAGAUAUCUAACACUCCAAAGAUGUGUGUUUCUUAGGCAUUUUUGGACAGACACAAGGUACAGUGUGCAGCCCCUGUGCUCAGAAUGCCCAGGUGAAGCAGUCUGUUUAAUUGCUCUUUUGUUGGUUGUUGUUUGGUAUUUGUAAGGGCUGCUGAAUGGAGCUGGGGAGCUGCAUAUGCCAAUUAUGAUCUGUGACAAGCUUUUCUUCAUUAAAAUGACCUCAAAACCAGGCAAUGAGGCUGAUUCACAAGUAAGAGGCUCCUCAGACCUGUAGGAGAGCACACAGGUGCUUCAUCUGACCUGGUAACCCUGACUCUGCCCACACAAGCUAGGGCUGCCUCAGCUGGUGGGAGCACAGUGUCCUCUCCACCUCAACACCAGUCAGAGGUACGUGCUGUGAGCUUUGGGGUGUACUGCUCUGAUGGAGGAAGCGAAUGACCCCAUGUCUCACCUCCUGCAAGUGGUGUGAGUGGGGAGUGAGAGUUCAGAAAUUUAAUAGCCAAUACAGAUAUCAUAAAAGCCUGACUGUUGUUUGUGGUCAACGGUGCAGUUUUCUUUGAGCAGUGAGGAAGAGAAAUGUGUCUGUGUGUGAUGGAGAGUGGCAAUCAGUACUAAGAUGUGCACCCAGUUUGUUGGGAAAAGUAAUGGGAUAUAAAGGAAAGCAGGAGCAGAGUGAAGGAAGCACAGAAGAGCUGAUGGGAAGCCCCUGAGACUCAGAGGCAAUCUCUGUUCUCCCUUGCCAGCAUGCUGCAGUGUGAUGGAUAAGCGUCUAAAACAUGGGAAAACCUGAAGCAAGGAAGCACUCCUAUCCCUGAUGAAGAUGCAUCAUCACUGGGCUUGGUUCAAAAACCAUUAAAGCUUCUGAGUGGUUCCAGUGGGAAUGAGAACAACCCUUUUUCUGAAGAAAUAGAGAUGGUGCUGACCCAGUUGCUAUUGGGAAUUUGGUGAUGCAGAGCACAGAGGCAGCGAUGGGAUUUCACUACCCUGAGGAGGUGCUGAGCACAUUCAGAUGUCUCCAAAGCUGGUCAGUCCUAUAAUGAGCCCCUGUCGCGUGCCAGGAGUUGCUGAAGCUUUGGAAAGGAAGAUUUUGUCUGCUACAAACCCUGCCAUGGUACAGAGGUUAACUAGACACCUGAAAUUGCA